CCCCACAAAAUUCGAACUAUUAAAACCGCUGAUAGUCGAGAUGAAAUACUCUACAUCGAGGCUAGCAAGGGAUUGUUGCUUGUUGGUGUUGUUGUUGAUGGUUAGCAGGGGAAGCAGUGGAGAUGGUUGACAGUAAUAAGAGGUGCGAAAUUAUCGUUUUAGAUAUGCAGCAGGUGCUUGUGGUUGAUGGUGAGUGCGGUGGUCUGGCCUAGUGUAGUGGGCAAUUUGUUGCAGAUAGCUAUUUUGUUGUUGAGUUGUUUGUGAAUUGCAGGGGAUAAUGUCAAGGUUUCUCUCUCUUAUAUUUAGAUUAACUCUAAUCUUAUUGUUAUUCAGUGAAUUUUCUGGUUUAGUUGUUCUAUAAUUUGAGGUAAUAAUUAAUUUCUUACUUGAUUUCUCUCAUAUUAAAGGUAAUUUAACAUUACAAUUGAAGGUUUAAAAAAAAAUUACAAUUGAAGCGGCAUAAUCUAGUUCUUCAUUACCGAAUAAGAAUUUUAAGAGAAGUAGUCAAAAUAAUGACACAAUGUUAUUCCUUUGUUUUGUGUAUGAUAUUGUUUACCUCAAAUUGAAAUGAUGAUGUUAAUUACUACUUACUGAUAAAGUGAUUAUGAGUUGAUGGCAUUCUGUUUUUGCAUUUCGUAUUUUAAGAGAAUAAUAGCACUGCAAUUUUCAUUUUGUUUUGUGUACGAGAAGACAGGUACAAUGAACAUGUUUAAGCUAGACAUAUAAACUUUGGUAAAACAGGACUAAACUUAUUAGGGCCGUGAUUAAUAGCAAUUGUAGCUUAAAUUGGUCCAUAGUUUUUGUGUAUGUUAUUAAUCAAAUAAUGAAAUAAUCACCCAACCUUCCAGCAGUAUAUUAACUCUGUAGAGUUCUAGCUGAAAUCUAAUCUUUAGUAGUCCUCAUCACCAAGUGUUCGAAUCGAAGGUAUCAUGAUCUUACUCUGGAGUCAAUGAAUGAUGCUAACAUUGUAUAGAAUGCAAAAUUCGAAUAAUAUGUUACUAGAAUUCCCAUUAGUUACUGUAAUAGUUGCAAUUGCAGAAUUUACAGGAAGAAUUAUUGAAGAAGAUUGAUUUUGAUUUAAUAUAUGUAUGAUCCUUAAAUCAUGGAUAUAAAUUUAUCAAAACUGAAUAUAAUGGCCUGUUUUUCUCUUUAAAAUUGUGAAUUAAGUUCUAAUCCGAGAUGUUUUUCUCUUUAAAAUGUGGUGAGAAUGAUAUGAUUAGUAUUCUUAUUUUUCAUGCUUAGGUUUUAUCUUGUUUGAAAUGAGUUGAAUGAGUCUAUUGACUUUGUGGCUAUGAUGCGAGCGUGUAGUGUCAUCAAAAAUUGGGAGGAAGUGAGAUGUGGCUACUAUGUCGUGUACUAUACGUUUGAAACAGUUCAACAUCACCGUAGUAAUGAGGAUCUUGUUAGAUUUUUCAAGAACAAUACCUUAUAAUGGGGAGGGGAUAAAUGAGGUUCGAGAUAUUUAGUCAAAAUAUUUCAUGAUCAACGUUGAAAUUUAGAUUUAAACUUAGCUAAAUCCAUUUGUUUGUUAAACUUUUUUUGUUUUAGUUCUUAGGCUUGAAAUGAAUGUAUUUGGGGUACCAACAUUUUGGGUUGGUCUUUGUUCUUGUGUUGGUUGAUGAUAUCAAUAAUUUUGAGUUGUAAAAUUUUGAGACUUUGCCGAAAUUUACAUUUGCAUUCAAUAAUAUUGCAUUUUAAUUUCAA